rnacentral:rRNA from 1 species
CACGAAGGGGGCUAGCGUUGCUCGGAAUCACUGGGCGUAAAGGGCGCGUAGGCGGCGUUUUAAGUCGGGGGUGAAAGCCUGUGGCUCAACCACAGAAUGGCCUUCGAUACUGGGACGCUUGAGUAUGGUAGAGGUUGGUGGAACUGCGAGUGUAGAGGUGAAAUUCGUAGAUAUUCGCAAGAACACCGGUGGCGAAGGCGGCCAACUGGACCAUUACUGACGCUGAGGCGCGAAAGCGUGGGGAGCAAACAGG